rnacentral:rRNA from 1 species
UACGGGGGGGGCAAGCGUUGUUCGGAAUUACUGGGCGUAAAGGGCUCGUAGGCGGCCAACUAAGUCAGACGUGAAAUCCCUCGGCUUAACCGGGGAACUGCGUCUGAUACUGGAUGGCUUGAGGUUGGGAGAGGGAUGCGGAAUUCCAGGUGUAGCGGUGAAAUGCGUAGAUAUCUGGAGGAACUCCGGUGGCGAAGGCGGCAUCCUGGACCAAUUCUGACGCUGAGGAGCGAAAGCCAGGGGAGCAAACGGGG